rnacentral:tRNA from 1 species
UCGGGAUAUAGCUCAGCUUGGUAGAGCACCUGCUUUGGGAGCAGGGGGUCCUAGGUUCAAAUCCUAGUAUCCCGAG